rnacentral:rRNA from 1 species
UACUCUUAGCAUUAAAUAUCUCAGCUCUCACAUCAAUGAAUAAUGUAGUAAAAUGCGAUACCUUAUGUGAAUUGUAAAUUUUUCAAAACAUCAAGUUUUUAAAAGCACGUCGCAAGUUGCAUCUAAAGCUUUUAGGUCG